UAUGCUAUAUUAUUGUUAUGUUUGUCACAUUUAAUCGUCUUAAAAUUACAAUAAUAUUGUUUUUCGUAAUAAUGUAUUUGACAAAACAUCGUCCACAAAAAUGUUAUUAUGAAACACAUAUGCAUGUAUUACUUUUUGUUUGACAGCAACAAAUUAAAAGAAAAUAUAUUAUGGCCAAUUAGACAUUUACGAGAGUAAAUGUGAAUGCAGCAGGAAAUGACGUCAGGACCGCAGGAGUUGUUUGGAAAACUGAGUGGCACAAAGCGAGGGAGCCAGCAGCCGUGAAAAAAGGAGACACGAAAGGAAAAAGCAGGAUGGAGAGGGGCAGAAGAUUCCGCAUCCUGCUUUCUGAUAGACGAAAAAAAGGAAAAGCACAAGAAGAAGAAGAUCAAGAAGAACAAAAAAUAUAACAUUUUACCUAAAAGAAACAUAUAAUCAAUGAUGAUUGUAAAUAAAUAAAUAAAUAAGUUUAAUGUUA